rnacentral:rRNA from 1 species
GACGAACGCUGGCGGCAUGCCUAAUACAUGCAAGUCGAGCGGACUUGAAGAGAAGCUUGCUUCUCUGAUGGUUAGCGGCGGACGGGUGAGUAACACGUAGGCAACCUGCCCUCAAGUUUGGGACAACUACCGGAAACGGUAGCUAAUACCGAAUAAUUGUUUCUUCGCCUGAAGGAAACUGGAAAGACGGAGCAAUCUGUCACUUGGGGAUGGGCCUGCGGCGCAUUAGCUAGUUGGUGAGGUAACGGCUCACCAAGGCGACGAUGCGUAGCCGACCUGAGAGGGUGAUCGGCCACACUGGGACUGAGACACGGCCCAGACUCCUACGGGAGGCAG